GAUGAAGAACGCAGCGAAAUGCGAUACGUAAUGUGAAUUGCAGAAUUCAGUGAAUCAUCGAAUCUUUGAACGCACAUUGCACUCUCUGGUAUUCCGGAGAGUAUGCUUGUUUGAGUAUCUGUAAACAUCUCAAAUCUCUCUUCAAUUGCUUCAAUUGGGUCGAGAGAAUUGGAUUUGAGCGAUCCCGACUCCUUCGUCAGAAAGAGGAGGGUCGUUUGAAAUGCAGGUGCAGCUGGACAUUCUUCUGAGCAAAAAGCAUAUCUAUUUAGUCCCGUCAAACGGAUUAUUACUUUUGCUUCAGCUAAUAUAAAGGUUGAAUGAACUACCAACGCUGAUUGCAGGAAAACAUGUUCGUUUAUUCGGACUUGUAAACUCGAUCUCAAAUCAAGUAAGACUACCCGCUGAACUUAAGCAUAUCAAUAAGCGGAGGA
rnacentral:misc_RNA from 1 species